rnacentral:rRNA from 1 species
AUUGAACGCUGGCGGCAUGCCUUACACAUGCAAGUCGAACGGCAGCACGGGAGCAAUCCUGGUGGCGAGUGGCGAACGGGUGAGUAAUAUAUCGGAACGUGCCCGGUCGUGGGGAUAACGUAGCGAAAGCUACGCUAAUACCGCAUACGAUCUACGGAUGAAAGCGGGGGAGUCGCAAGACCUCGCGCGAUUGGAGCGGCCGAUAUCAGAUUAGGUAGUUGGUGAGGUAAAGGCUCACCAAGCCGACGAUCUGUAGCUGGUCUGAGAGGACGACCAGCCACACUGGGACUGAGACACGGCCCAGACUCCUACGGGAGGCAGCAGUGGGAAGUUUUGGUAC